UACGUAGGGCGCAAGCGUUGUCCGGAAUUAUUGGGCGUAAAGAGCUCGUAGGCGGUUUGUCGCGUCUGCCGUGAAAGUCCGGGGCUCAACUCCGGAUCUGCGGUGGGUACGGGCAGACUAGAGUGAUGUAGGGGAGACUGGAAUUCCUGGUGUAGCGGUGAAAUGCGCAGAUAUCAGGAGGAACACCGGUGGCGAAGGCGGGUCUCUGGGCCGUAACUGACGCUGAGGAGCGAAAGCCGUGGGGAGCGAACAGGA
rnacentral:rRNA from 1 species